rnacentral:tRNA from 1 species
AGAGAAAGACGACUAAGGAUAAUUGCUUAAAAUUAAGCUUACUACGCUGUCAUUUUUUUAAAAUCAUAAAAGUAGAGUCUCGUAGCUCAGCUGGUUAGAGCGCUACACUGAUAAUGUAGAGGUCGGCAGUUCGAGUCUGCCCGAGACUACUUCUUUUAAUUAGGGAAAUUCUAGGGUUGAUAUAACCUUUAUGUCUACUCCUUUUUAGGAAUUGACUUUGGGGAAUUAGCUCAGCUGGCUAGAGCACUUGAUUUGCAUUCAAGAGGUCAUCGGUUCGACUCCGAUAUUCUCCACUUUUUGUUUUCGGACAAAAACGAUCUUUGACAUGAAGAGAACACAAAAGUAUAAUCAAAAUAUAAAAUUAAUUUUGGUUGUGCGAGCAAAAUAGUAAAUCAAAUAAAACUAAAGAGAAUAGUUAUU